rnacentral:rRNA from 1 species
GAUCAUGGCUCAGAUUGAACGCUGGCGGCGUGCUUAACACAUGCAAGUCGAACGUGAAAGUCCUUCGGGACGAGUAAAGUGGCGCACGGGUGAGUAACGCGUGGAUAAUCUACCCUUAAGAUGGGGAUAACGGCUGGAAACGGUCGCUAAUACCGAAUACGCUCCCGAUUUUUAUCAUUGGGGGGAAAGAUGGCCUCUGCUUGCAAGCUAUCGCUUAAGGAUGAGUCCGCGUCCCAUUAGCUAGUUGGCGGGUAACGGCCCACCAAGGCAACGAUGGGUAGCCGGUCUGAGAGGAUGACCGGCCACACUGGAACUGGAACACGGUCCAGACUCCUACGGGAGGCAGCAGUGGGGAAUAUUGCGCAAUGGGCGAAAGCCUGACGCAGCGACGCCGCGUGAGGGAUGAAGGUUCUCGGAUCGUAAACCUCUGUCAGGGGGGAAGAAACCCCCUCGUGUGAAUAAUGCGAGGGCUUGACGGUACCCCCAAAGGAAGCACCGGCUAACUCCGUG